rnacentral:rRNA from 1 species
AUGAACGCUAGCUACAGGCUUAACACAUGCAAGUCGAGGGGCAGCAUCAUCAAAGCUUGCUUUGAUGGAUGGCGACCGGCGCACGGGUGAGUAACACGUAUCCAACCUGCCGACAACACUGGGAUAGCCUUUCGAAAGAAAGAUUAAUACCGGAUGGCAUAGUCUUCCCGCAUGGGAUGAUUAUUAAAGAAUUUCGGUUGUCGAUGGGGAUGCGUUCCAUUAGGCAGUUGGCGGGGUAACGGCCCACCAAACCUACGAUGGAUAGGGGUUCUGAGAGGAAGGUCCCCCACAUUGGAACUGAGACACGGUCCAAACUCCUACGGGAGGCAGCAGUGAGGAAUAUUGGUCAAUGGACGAGAGUCUGAACCAGCCAAGUAGCGUGAAGGAUGACUGCCCUAUGGGUUGUAAACUUCUUUUGUACGGGAAUAAAGUUAGCCACGUGUGGCUUUUUGUAUGUACCGUAUGAAUAAGGAUCGGCUAACUCCGUGCCAGCAGCCGCGGUAAUACGGAGGAUCCGAGCGUUAUCCGGAUUUAUUGGGUUUAAAGGGAGCGUAGGCGGGUUGUUAAGUCAGUUGUGAAAGUUUGCGGCUCAACCGUAAAAUUGCAGUUGAUACUGGCGACCUUGAGUGCAACAGAGGUAGGCGGAAUUCGUGGUGUAGCGGUGAAAUGCUUAGAUAUCACGAAGAACUCCGAUUGCGAAGGCAGCUUACUGGAUUGUAACUGACGCUGAUGCUCGAAAGUGUGGGUAUCAAACAGGAUUAGAUACCCUGGUAGUCCACACAGUAAACGAUGAAUACUCGCUGUUGGCGAUAUACAGUCAGCGGCCAAGCGAAAGCAUUAAGUAUUCCACCUGGGGAGUACGCCGGCAACGGUGAAACUCAAAGGAAUUGACGGGGGCCCGCACAAGCGGUGGAGCAUGUGGUUUAAUUCGAAGCAACGCGAAGAACCUUACCAAGGCUCGACAUAUACAGGAAUAUUUAAGAGAUUAAAUAGCUCUUCGGAGUCUGUAUACAGGUGGUGCAUGGUUGUCGUCAGCUCGUGCCGUGAGGUGUCGGCUUAAGUGCCAUAACGAGCGCAACCCUUACGGGUAGUUACCAUCAGGUUAUGCUGGGGACUCUACCCGGACUGCCGUCGUAAGAUGUGAGGAAGGUGGGGAUGACGUCAAAUCAGCACGGCCCUUACGUCCGGGGCUACACACGUGUUACAAUGGGGGGUACAGAAGGCAGCUACACGGCGACGUGGUGCUAAUCCCGAAAGCCUCUCUCAGUUCGGAUUGGAGUCUGCAACCCGACUCCAUGAAGCUGGAUUCGCUAGUAAUCGCGCAUCAGCCACGGCGCGGUGAAUACGUUCCCGGGCCUUGUACACACCGCCCGUCAAGCCAUGAAAGCCGGGGGUACCUGAAGUACGUAACCGCGAGGAGCGUCCUAGGGUAAAACUGGUGAUUGGGGCU